UGACAACAUGUACAAAGUGGGCUAGUCAUGUAGCAUGAUGGAAGGACAAGUGGAUAGCCUGAGCACUACACCGAUUACAAACUAUUUAAAAAAAAACAAACACGAAGAAGGCCUCCAGUGCAUAUAUGGAUGGAUCUUCUGUAAAAAGAGGACUUCUGUAAAGACAUUGACAGGAAUUGCACAGGCUGAAGGCAUGGAGGGAUUGCUUUCUGCAUAGGUGGAGGCAAUAUCAACAUUGAUCAGUCAAAAGAACCUGGCUCCAGCCUGCAACUUUAUCACCAAUGUACUCAUUUUAUCAACACUAUUGUUAAAAGCCCUCACUACUCAAAACCAAAAACAAGCAGUUACUACGCAGCUUUUAUAGGGUAAUUUUCAUUAUUACCCCUUUGAUUUCAAAGAAAAUGUUGGUGUUUCUUGGUUAAGGAAAUUGUACCAAAAUGAUAAAGACAUUUGGCAGAGUUUAAAAAGCUACUUUUUAUCAUUAGAAGCUAACUCAGAUGGCUUCCAAAUCCACGGAGUUUCAUAGCAUGACCAGACUUUUCAGCUUGCUCCCUAUACAGAAAGUUGCUUUUCAGGGAACUUUUUAUUUUUAACCUCAACUAUUAUUUAUAGCAUUGUUUUUUUGUUUUUUUUUUAAAAGGUGCCUGAUAAUAGGGUACUCAAGAAUAGACAGAAGUGGAUAUAAAGAUAUUAUGUUGUGCACUACAUCUUAAGAUUUAUGUUGUUUUCACUUUUCCUAACAUCACAAACUUACAUGCUGUUUGAAAUAGGGCAAUAUACAAGUAUUCUCAGAAAUCACUAUAACUAUCAAAUAAAAACUUAAAAAAGGAAGUCACCUCCAAAAAACUAAUUUAAUUGGCCAGCAUAUUGUGCAUUUAGUUUCUUUGGAGAUUAAAGUGCAGGUUUUGAAAUGGCAUAAAUAAUGCAAACAGUAUCAAUGACUUAAAUGAUCCAUAACCAGAUGUAAUGCACAUUACACAAUCUUUUCAUGUGCCAUUCAUAGAUAUUCAUGUGAUAAUUAAACUGUAACAUUCCUUUUAGCUCUCUAGAUUAAAGUAUUAAUUUCCUUCCUUAUUUUUACCCAUAUUGGGAGCCAAAUGAACCAUUUCCUUUAGAAUUUUAAUGUUUAGGUCAAAAGUUUCUCUGUUUUGGAGCUAAGUAGUUUAAGACCAGCUUCUGUAGAAAUUCAAUUCUAUAAAAAAGUCAAAACUAAAAUCAUAAUUAUAGAAAAUGUUGCUUCCAAUAGUGGCUAUCAAAUUUGAAUUUCAGGGAAUCCUACAGGGUCCUCUUAAAAUGUGUGGUUAAUAACAUGUUCAAAUGUCUAUUCUGUAUUUCUGGAGUCCAAGUACAAUAGACAACUUAGGCUUCAAAGUAGGAAAGGAUUUUAAAGACCAUCUAGAGAGCCGAAAUCCUUCACUUUACAAAUGAGGAAACUGAGGCUAACAGGUGAAGUGACUUGCCCAAAACAACACAGGUAACAGUUAGGAUUUGAAAAAAGGUACUCUGACUAAAUCCAGUACUCAUUCCUCCAAACCACAAUGCCUCUUCCAAUCAGGAGCUUGAAAAAAUAAUGCAGAUAAAGAUUUCAUAACAUAAAAUUUGUAAACUAUUUAUAAGGAAACAAAUAAUAUUCACAUAGAAAAACACAAACGAUGCUAGGGUCGAAAACCCUAAAUUCCUUGUGAGUGCCUUUUUUUUGUAUUAUAGCUCAAAAUCCAUUUUAGCAGAAUGAAUUUACUAGUAAGUGUGGUCCAUAAAAACAAAGCAAUUUCAAUGAGAAGCUGGCUCUCCUGGAAAAGGCUCUGAAAAACAGCUGGGAUACUGCAGUGCAAACUUAUUUAUUCUGUCAAGUGAUUUCUUAGUAUAACAUACUUACAUCAUACUAUUUACCAUUCAAAUUAAUGACAAUUCAGAACAAUAGGAUAGUUUUCUUGAAAUUACUGUGUAUUAUCAACUUUUAGUGGAUCAAAGUAAUUAGUGUCUAUCAGAAACUUAAAUAAAAAUCUCCUAUCGCCCAAAGGGGGGGGGGGGGGAUAUCUCCUAUCUUAUUUUUUUGUUUCCUAGAAUUUUUGCAAUUAAAAAAUGAGCAAUGGUGUCUGCAGUGCCUACCCCUCUCCUUUCUCCCUUAAGUGAAAAUCUGUUAACAAAUGUAAUUCAGAAAGUGCUUAAAUUUAG
rnacentral:lncRNA from 1 species